UACAGAGGGUGCAAGCGUUGUUCGGAAUUAUUGGGCGUAAAGCGCGUGUAGGCGGCUUUGCAAGUCGGGUGUGAAAGCCCUCAGCUUAACUGAGGAAGUGCGCCCGAAACUGCAGAGCUUGAGUACCGGAGAGGAUGGCGGAAUUCCCCAAGUAGAGGUGAGAUUCGUAGAUAUGGGGAGGAACACCGGUGGCGAAGGCGGCCAUCUGGACGGAUACUGACGCUGAGACGCGAAAGCGUGGGUAGCAAACAGG
rnacentral:rRNA from 1 species